rnacentral:rRNA from 1 species
GACGAACGCUGGCGGCGUGCCUAAUACAUGCAAGUAGGACGCAGUUGCGAACGGGUGAGUAACGCGUCGGUAACUGCCUAUUAGAGGGGGAUAACUAUUGGAAACGAUAGCUAAUCCCGCAUACUAGUAGAUGGACCUGCGGUGUAUUAGCUAGUAGGUAGGGUAAUGGCCUACCUAGGCGACGAUACAUAGCCGACCGGAGUGGGUUGUCUGCCACACUGGGGCUGAGUCACGGGCCAGACUCCUACGGGAGGCAGCAGUAGGGAAUCGUCGACAAUGGGGGGAACCCUGACCGAGCAACGCCGCGGGAGUGAAGAAGGGUUUCGGAUCGUAAAGCUCUGUUGGUAAGGAAGCGGUACUUAACCAGAAAGGGACGGCUAACUACGGGACAGCCGCCGCGGUAAUUC